rnacentral:rRNA from 1 species
UACGUAGGGUCCGAGCGUUGUCCGGAAUUACUGGGCGUAAAGAGCUCGUAGGCGGUGUGUCGCGUCGGCCGUGAAAACCUGCAGCUUAACUGUGGGCUUGCGGUCGAUACGGGCAUCACUGGAGUUCGGCAGGGAGACUGGAAUUCCUGGUGUAGCGGUGAAAUGCGCAGAUAUCAGGAGGAACACCGGUGGCGAAGGCGGGUCUCUGGGCCGGAUACUG